CAGCCUUCCUAUAUAUAUCGUUUCCGCAGAACUUCCGGACUUUUCACAAUUUGUGUAUGAUUCUUCCGUGAUCCGCAGCCGACUAUUCGCAUCAGUUCUAAGAACAUUGUUGCUCAGCCGUCCACCUAUCUUCCAUACGCUAGAAAAAUAGUGAAACUUUUGCAGGCUUAGACAUGGGGCAAUGGCCACAUUCCAUACGAAAAUAGAAUCAUCUGGUUCUUGAACUGCAUAUCCGUGAGGGCCAACUUUUGGUAUUUUUCAACACAGGAUGGAUUGGAAGAGGCUUUGUGUUUCCAGGAUUUAUUUUUAACAGUAUUCAUUUUUUUUCAAUUGAUCGUUUUUUCUCUCAAAAGCCAUGAACUGCCGGUUAGGCUAGACAGGCGACUGCUUAUUUUAAAUUUAGGUUAUCACAUUUUCCUUUAGAAAUUCUUUUUAUUUAUUUAUUUUAUUUAUUAUUAUUUUUUUAUUUUUUUAACAAUAAAUCUUUGCUAUGAAUCCCAGAA
rnacentral:misc_RNA from 1 species